AUCGUAAUUUUUUAACGCUGUGGCAGAAAUUUUCAUGUAAACUAAGCGUUUAUCAUGCGAUUGUACGCUGAAGUUACUUAAAGAAAUCUACGCGGUCACAGAAAUGAAUAAGAAUGACCCAUCACUAAUAUCUGAUUUGGAAAUUAGUUCGCGCCAACUAGAUUCCCAUGAUCACAGGGCUGUGAUUGAAGCUUCGGUUGACCAAGACGGGGUCGAAGAAUUCGAGUGUAUUGAUUCUCCAAUGAGCGAUGUAAUGGAAACGCCUAUUUUUAAAAUAAAUUCAAUAUACUAAUAGUAGCCAACUACUUCCACAAAUAGUAUGGCCACCUCUAUAAUGCCUCAACCACAAUAUAAAACCUAUUUUAGGGUGAUUCUUAUAAUAAAAAAAAAAAAAAAAAUUACAAAUUCUGAAAGAGGGUUGGGUUGGGUUUUCCAAAAAUAAUGGGUAAAUGUGUAAUACAAAGACCCAAAAGUAAAGUAAGUCAGUAACUACUGUAAAGUUGUUUUUUGUUUAAAUAAAGUAUUACUUUUGCAAAAAUACAAAAAAAAAAAAAAAUAACCAACAACAAAAAGAUUCGCACUAGCUAAU